UUUACAAAACAUUCACACCGCAUCUAAAAAAGAGAACAGAGGAGGAAGGAGAGUGCGAACGAGAACCAGUGCACGAGGGGAAGGAAUGACGCCGUGGAGCUUGGUGCUGCUGCUGCCGUCGUGCCGCCUGGAGAGGGCGGAAGAACCACGUCUGGGAGAGGGAGAACCAGAAGGAAUGUCGCGCGAGAAGGAGGGGACGCCUCGUUGUUGCUGUACCUCCAUCGUCACUGAUUCGCCGUCGCACUUCGUCGCCGCCGCCGGAGCUCCCCUCACCGUCAUCGACACCGAUUAGGGCAGAGGAGAGUGGAACGUGAGAGAGAGAGACGCAUGGGAGAGAGGAGCAGAAACGCCGCAAGGAGGAGAAGGACGAGGUCCGUUCUCACGUUGUUCUGAUCCGCCGCCGUCGCUGUCGCCGAUUGGGGUCAAAACCCUUGCCGUCACGCCCUAGCAUGAAAGAAUCAAAGCUAACAAAGGGAUGCGAUGAAGUUUGUGUUAGUUUUCAUAGUUAAUUUAUUGUUCUUGUUUAUACUGUGACUGUCCGUGUCUGUCCGUGAGUAUUCUUUAUUUUUUUCUUUAAGUGAUAUUCUUUUUUUUGUUGAAGUGUUCUUGUUUGCCUUUAAUUUAUAUGCUUUGUUUAUUGCCUCUUACAUAAAUAAUGAACACAGAUGCAUCAUUUUAAUCCUGUAAAGAGUUGUUAAUUAGUUAGUACAUAUUAGGUUAUGUUUGUGGGUUGUUUUGUGUCUUGGUUCUUUUUCUGGCUUUGAGCAUUGCUUAUCAUUUUUGUGUCUAGCUCUCCUAUAUGUAGUUGCCUAUUAGCCUGAGAGUUAGUCAUCUUGUAUAUUCACAACUACACUGAUUAUCCAUAAUGUUCUCCCAUUUCACGUUUCUUAUGCACAAAGCUUUGUCCAUAUAUCUCUUUUGUGGUUCUGAUUUACUCUCUGCUUCUGCAUCGUAUUGUAUUACUCCACAAGCAUUUUGAAAAGCAUUCUAAUCCGUUUAACUAUUCACUAGUAUAAUCAUAGUUUGUAAAUACCUUAUCUUUAUUUUAACAUAGUUGUCUUGAAAUUGUUUCUAAGGUUCUUUAGGAAGACUUGACAAAUGCUAUUUCGUUGAAUGAUUCGGAUAAGGAGUUUUAUCUAAUUUUGGACUUUAAUGUGUACACUAAGCAAUCAACAUUUGGUGCUUGUUUCCGUUUGAACUACUGCUUUGAAUAUUUCAGCUCAGAUAGAUGGUGAAGAACAAGAAAUCGCAAGUACUCAUUCUAGCCCAGGACCAUCUAGUCAUGGAACUAAUGAAAGAGCUAUAUCAGUUUAUGUUUAGUAUUCUAUAUAUACACUCAUAUGCAAAAAGUCUUUUCAGGUGUGUGGCACUUAUUAGAAGCUUCUCCAUGAGAAAGAAGCUGUGUGAACAUGAUGGAGUUUUGGAAUGGAGUACCUAAGGAAGAUGAUGCUAUGAGAGAAGCCAUCCCCAUUCCAUUUCCACACAUUGCUAGGAGGACAAAGAAGCAAAUGGAGCUAGACCCCAAAAUGGUCAAAAUUUUUAAAAAGGUUGAGAUAAGAGCAUAAUUGCAGUGGUUGGCAUUGCGAAGGACGUCCUGGUGAGCAUCAAGGGGCUGAUGUUUCCUAUCAAUUUCUACAUCCUAGAGAUGCCCCCUGGUGAUUCUGGAAGACCUUCAUCCAUCUUGCUUGGAAGGCCAUUUCUGAAGACUUCGAAGUUCAAAUUGGAUGCCUUCUCAGGAACUUAUUCUUUUGAGAUAGAUGACAGAGCAGUGAGCUUCAUCCUUGAUGAAGCCAUGAAGCACCCACCAAAAGAUCACUCCAUCUUCCAAUGCGACAUAAUUGAUGAUGUUAUAGCUAAAGUUCACCAAGAGGCAGUAGAAGAAGAGACCAUGGAGCAAGGUGAAAGUGCGGGGAAGUCCUCUGAGUAUAUUGAAGACGCCUUGCUACCCCCAGUGGUUCAAGAUGAUCACAUGCCUAACCAUGAGCUGAAAAUGGAAUUGAAGCCCCUUCCACCUCAUCUCAAGUGCGCCUACCUUGAGAAAAAUUAGAAGCUCCCAGUUAUUACUGCAAAGGAACUCACUUCCCAACAACAGGAGCAGCUGCUUAGUGUGUUGAGAAGACACAAGAAAGCAAUUAGGUGGAGUUUGGCAGACAUAGUAGGUAUCAGCCCGCAGGUUUGCAAGCACCGAAUAUUUCUAGAGGAGGGAGCAAGGCCUAUCCGUCAACCUCAAAGGCGAAUGAACCCCACCAUUUUAGAAGUGGUAAAGAAGGAGGUAACCAGACUGCUUGAAGCUAGCAUCAUCUAUCCAAUCUCGGAUAGUGAAUGGGUCAGCCCAGUACAGGUGGUUCCUAAGAAGUCUGAUGUCACCACAGUGAAGAAUGAGCAUGGGGAGCUCAUGGCUACCAGAGUGCAGAAUUCUUGGAGGGUGUGCAUUGACUACAAGCGUCUGAACCAGGCUACUCAUAAGGAUCACUACCCGCUGCCUUUCAUCGAUCAAAUGCUUGAUCGCCUGUCAGGUAAAUCGCACUAUUAUUUUCUAGAUAGUAUUACAGGAUAUUUUCAAAUUCAUAUAGCUCCUGAAGAUCAGGAGAAAACUACUUUUACGUGUCCCUUUGGAACGUAUGCAUAUAAGAAGAUGCCUUUUGGCUUAUGUAAUGUACCGGCUACGUUCCAAAGAUGCAUGAUGAGUAUUUUCUCAGAUUUUCUUGAGAAUUGUAUGGAUGUUUUUAUGGAUGACUUUAGUAUCUAUGGUGAUUCAUUUGACCUUUGCUUGGAUAGUUUAGCUAGAGUAUUAGAAAGGUGUACUAGUUCAAACCUUGUACUUAAUUUUGAAAAAUGUCAUUUCAUGGUAAAAUAAGGUAUUGUUCUAGGCCAUGUUGUUUCUAAUACUGGUAUAUCUGUUGAUCCAUCAAAGGUAGAUAUUAUUUCUGGUUUUCCUCACCCCUCCUCUGUGAGGGAAGUCCGUUCAUUUCUUGGUCAUGCAGGUUUCUACCGGUGAUUUAUCAAGGACUUUAGUAAGGUGGCACUGCCUUUAUCCUGUUUGCUACAGAAGGAUGUAGAGUUCGAGUUCAGUGAAGAUUGCAUAGAGGCGUUUGAUAAGCUGAAGGUUGCCUUGACCCAAGCUCCUAUUGUGAGAGGGCCUGGCUGGACUAGGCCAUUCAAAAUCAUGUGCAACGCAUCAAACUAUGCAAUAGAAGUGGCGCUGGCUCAGCACAAAGGUAAGGACCCUUAUAUUAUUGCUUAUGCAUCUAAGACUUUAGAUGGUGCUCAGUCUAAUUAUACUACCACUGAAAAAAAGCUAUUAGCUAUUGUUUUUGCUCUUGAUAAAUUCAUAGCCUAUUUACUGGGAACUAAGGUGGUAGUAUAUUCAGACCACGCUGCUUUAAAGUAUCUGUUAGCUAAAAAAGAGUCAAAAUCAAGGUUAAUCCGUUGGAUUUUGCUACUGCAAGAAUUUGAUUUAGAAAUCAAAGAUAGGAGUGGCUCUCAAAACUUAGUGGCGGACCACUUGAGUUGCCUUAAACAUAUUAAAAAUGAUUUCACUCCUAUCAAUGAUGUGUUUCCACUUGAUAGCUUAAAAGCAGUAUCUGAGGUGGUUCCUUGGUAUGCACCUAUAGCUAAUUAUUUGGUUAGUCGUACCUUCCUUCCUAAUUUUACUAAGCAUCAAAGGGAUAAGCUGAAAAGUGAGUCCAAAUAUUAUAUAUAGGAUGACACAUAUUUAUGGAGAUGUGGUGCUGACCAGAUAAUUAGAAGGUGUGUGCCACAAUCAGAAUUCCACUCAAUUUUAGAGGCCUGCCACUCUUUUGGGAGUGGCGGACACUUUGGUCCUCAAAGAACUUCUAGAAAAAUCUUAGACUGUGGAUUCUAGUGGCCUACACUUUUUAAGGAUGCUAGUAUUUAUUGUGACUCUUGCCCCCAAUGUCAGAGAUUUGGAAAUAUAUCUAAGAGGAAUGAGAUGCCCCAACAACUUAUGUUGUUCUGUGAAAUUUUUUAUGUUUGGGGUAUUGACUUCAUGGGUCCAUUUCCAAAUUUUAAUGGUUUCUUAUACAUCUUGUUAGAUGUUGAUUAUGUUUCUAAAUGGGUGAAAGCAAUUCCUACCUGCACUGAUGAUGCUAACAUUAUUGUCUCCUUUAUUCGAAAUAAUAUUAUCUGUCGCUUUGGAUCACCACGAGCAAUCGUGAGUGAUCAAGGCACUCACUUUUGCAACAGGAGAAUGACAAAUCUGUUGAAGAAAAAAGACAUCAUUCACAAGGUAGCGACAGCCUACCAUCCCCAGACCAAUUACCAAGCCGAGGUGUUAAAUAGGAAGAUCAAGCAUAUUAGAGAAGAUUGUGAAGCCUCAUGAUGAGCGGAUAAUUUAUACGCUUUUUGGCAUUGUUUUUAGGUAAAUUCUGACUGAAAUUGAGGGAUUUGAGCAAAACUCUGAAAAAGGCUGACAAAAGGACUGCUGAUGCUGUUGGAUUCUGACCUCCCUGCACUCGAAAUGGAUUUUCUGGAGCUACAGAACUCCAAAUGGUGCGCUCUCAACGGCGUUGGAAAGUAGACAUCCAGGGCUUUCCAGCAAUAUAUAAUAGUCCAUACUUUAUUCGAAGAAUGACGACGUAACUUGGCGUUGAACGCCAAGUUCAUGCUGCUGUCUGGAGUUAAACGCCAGAAAAACGUCAUGAUCCGGAGUUGAACGCCCAAAACACGUCAUAACUCGGAGUUCAACUCCAAGAGAAGCCUCAGCUCGUGUGUUGAUCAAGCUCAGCCCAAACAUACACCAAGUGGGCCCCGGAAGUGGAUUUAUGCAUCAAUUACUUACUCAUGUAAACCCUAGGAGCUAGUUUAUUAUAUAUAGGACAUUUAUCUAUUGUAUUAGACAUAUUUUGACCACUUUAAACUCUUUAUUCAUUCGGUCACUUGAUCAUGGAGAGGGCUGGCCAUUCGGCCAUGCCUGAACCUUAUGCUUAUGUAUUUUCAACGGUGGAGUUUCUGCACACCAUAGAUUAAGGGUGUGGAGCUCUGCUGUACCUCAAGUAUUAAUGAAGUUCUAUUUUCUUUUA